GGGUUGUGAGGUUAAGCGACUAAGCGUACACGGUGGAUGCCCUGGCAGUCAGAGGCGAUGAAGGACGUGCUAAUCUGCGAAAAGCGUCGGUAAGGUGAUAUGAACCGUUAUAACCGGCGAUGUCCGAAUGGGGAAACCCAGUGCAAUUCGUUGCACUAUCGUUAACUGAAUACAUAGGUUAACGAGGCGAACCGGGGGAACUGAAACAUCUAAGUACCCCGAGGAAAAGAAAUCAACCGAGAUUCCCCCAGUAGCGGCGAGCGAACGGGGAGCAGCCCAGAGUCUGAAUCAGCUUGUGUGUUAGUGGAACGGUCUGGAAAGUCCGACGGUACAGGGUGAUAGUCCCGUACACCAAAAUGCACAGGCUGUGAACUCGAAGAGUAGGGCGGGACACGUGGUAUCCUGUCUGAAUAUGGGGGGACCAUCCUCCAAGGCUAAAUACUCCUGACUGACCGAUAGUGAACCAGUACCGUGAGGGAAAGGCGAAAAGAACCCCGGCGAGGGGAGUGAAAAAGAACCUGAAACCGUGUACGUACAAGCAGUGGGAGCACCUUCGGGUGUGACUGCGUACCUUUUGUAUAAUGGGUCAGCGACUUAUAUUCUGUAGCAAGGUUAACCGUAUAGGGGAGCCGCAGGGAAACCGAGUCUUAACUGGGCGUUAAGUUGCAGGGUAUAGACCCGAAACCCGGUGAUCUAGCCAUGGGCAGGUUGAAGGUUGGGUAACACUAACUGGAGGACCGAACCGACUAAUGUUGAAAAAUUAGCGGAUGACUUGUGGCUGGGGGUGAAAGGCCAAUCAAACCGGGAGAUAGCUGGUUCUCCCCGAAAGCUAUUUAGGUAGCGCCUCGUGAAUUCAUCUUCGGGGGUAGAGCACUGUUUCGGCUAGGGGGUCAUCCCGACUUACCAACCCGAUGCAAACUACGAAUACCGAAGAAUGUUAUCACGGGAGACACACGGCGGGUGCUAACGUCCGUCGUGAAGAGGGAAACAACCCAGACCGCCAGCUAAGGUCCCAAAGUCAUGGUUAAGUGGGAAACGAUGUGGGAAGGCACAGACAGCCAGGAUGUUGGCUUAGAAGCAGCCAUCAUUUAAAGAAAGCGUAAUAGCUCACUGGUCGAGUCGGCCUGCGCGGAAGAUGUAACGGGGCUAAACCAUGCACCGAAGCUGCGGCAGCGACACUAUGUGUUGUUGGGUAGGGGAGCGUUCUGUAAGCCUGCGAAGGUGUGCUGUGAGGCAUGCUGGAGGUAUCAGAAGUGCGAAUGCUGACAUAAGUAACGAUAAAGCGGGUGAAAAGCCCGCUCGCCGGAAGACCAAGGGUUCCUGUCCAACGUUAAUCGGGGCAGGGUGAGUCGGCCCCUAAGGCGAGGCCGAAAGGCGUAGUCGAUGGGAAACAGGUUAAUAUUCCUGUACUUGGUGUUACUGCGAAGGGGGGGACGGAGAAGGCUAUGUUAGCCGGGCGACGGUUGUCCCGGUUUAAGCAUGUAGGCUGGUUGUCCAGGCAAAUCCGGAUAAUCAAGGCUGAGGUGUGAUGACGAGGCACUACGGUGCUGAAGUAACAAAUGCCCUGCUUCCAGGAAAAGCCUCUAAGCAUCAGGUAACAUCAAAUCGUACCCCAAACCGACACAGGUGGUCAGGUAGAGAAUACCAAGGCGCUUGAGAGAACUCGGGUGAAGGAACUAGGCAAAAUGGUGCCGUAACUUCGGGAGAAGGCACGCUGGUGUGUAGGUGAAGUCCCUGCGGAUGGAGCUGAGACCAGUCGAAGAUACCAGCUGGCUGCAACUGUUUAUUAAAAACACAGCACUGUGCAAACACGAAAGUGGACGUAUACGGUGUGACGCCUGCCCGGUGCCGGAAGGUUAAUUGAUGGGGUUAUCCGUAAGGAGAAGCUCUUGAUCGAAGCCCCGGUAAACGGCGGCCGUAACUAUAACGGUCCUAAGGUAGCGAAAUUCCUUGUCGGGUAAGUUCCGACCUGCACGAAUGGCGUAAUGAUGGCCAGGCUGUCUCCACCCGAGACUCAGUGAAAUUGAACUCGCUGUGAAGAUGCAGUGUACCCGCGGCAAGACGGAAAGACCCCGUGAACCUUUACUAUAGCUUGACACUGAACAUUGAGCCUUGAUGUGUAGGAUAGGUGGGAGGCUUUGAAGCGUGGACGCCAGUCUGCGUGGAGCCAACCUUGAAAUACCACCCUUUAAUGUUUGAUGUUCUAACGUUGGCCCCUUACCGGGGUUGCGGACAGUGUCUGGUGGGUAGUUUGACUGGGGCGGUCUCCUCCCAAAGCGUAACGGAGGAGCACGAAGGUUAGCUAAUCCCUGGUCGGACAUCAGGAGGUUAGUGCAAUGGCAUAAGCUAGCUUGACUGCGAGCGUGACGGCGCGAGCAGGUGCGAAAAGCAGGUCAUAGUGAUCCGGUGGUUCUGAAUGGAAGGGCCAUCGCUCAACGGAUAAAAGGUACUCCGGGGAUAACAGGCUGAUACCGCCCAAGAGUUCAUAUCGACGGCGGUGUUUGGCACCUCGAUGUCGGCUCAUCACAUCCUGGGGCUGAAGUAGGUCCCAAGGGUAUGGCUGUUCGCCAUUUAAAGUGGUACGCGAGCUGGGUUUAGAACGUCGUGAGACAGUUCGGUCCCUAUCUGCCGUGGGCGCUGGAGAAUUGAGGGGGGCUGCUCCUAGUACGAGAGGACCGGAGUGGACGCAUCACUGGUGUUCGGGUUGUCAUGCCAAUGGCACUGCCCGGUAGCUAAAUGCGGAAGAGAUAAGUGCUGAAAGCAUCUAAGCACGAAACUUGCCCCGAGAUGAGUUCUCCCUGAGACUUUAAGUCUCCUGAAGGAACGUUGAAGACGACGACGUUGAUAGGCCGGGUGUGUAAGCGCAGCGAUGCGUUGAGCUAACCGGUACUAAUGAACCGUGAGGCUUAACCUUACAACGCCGAAG
rnacentral:rRNA from 1 species